AUUGAACGCUGGCGGCAUGCUUUACACAUGCAAGUCGAACGGCAGCGCGGGCUUCGGCCUGGCGGCGAGUGGCGAACGGGUGAGUAAUACAUCGGAACGUGCCCAGUAGUGGGGGAUAGCUCGGCGAAAGCCGGAUUAAUACCGCAUACGACCUGAGGGUGAAAGCCGGGGAUCUUCGGACCUCGCGCUAUUGGAGCGGCCGAUGGCAGAUUAGCUAGUUGGUGGGGUAAAGGCCUACCAAGGCGACGAUCUGUAGCUGGUCUGAGAGGACGACCAGCCACACUGGGACUGAGACACGGCCCAGACUCCUACGGGAGGCAGCAGUGGGGAAUUUUGGACAAUGGGCGAAAGCCUGAUCCAGCAAUGCCGCGUGUGUGAUGAAGGCCUUCGGGUUGUAAAGCACUUUUGGCGGGAACGAAAAGGACUGUGCCAAUACCACGGUUCGAUGACGGUACCCGCAGAAUAAGCACCGGCUAACUACGUG
rnacentral:rRNA from 1 species